ensembl:lncRNA
CAGCUGGUAGCGGCCAGUAAGGAGGCUAGUGCCAAGAUUCAGGAGCGAAAGGUUGAGGCCUGGAAUAGGGCCGAACCCCGAAGGCGGUUUUGAGGUAGAAAUUACGGGCCUUGCUUUGGGGUUGGGGCGUGGGGGUGGCGCUGGGUCUUGGCGCCUCGGUUGGGUGCGUGUUCUCCUACGCGCCACUAGGUGGGGCUGUCAUGGAAAGGAGGCCCCGUCCCUGCUCUCAGGAGACUUACAUUCCGCCAGGAGAAAGGUAGCGUAGCCCGCGAGGGCUGCAGUGCCCGUGCACGCAGGAACUCCCAAGAUAAAUGCACGUGGUGGUGCCUGGGAGAUAAUGAAGCGGCGCUGACCCGGGCUGUGGAGGCCAGAGAGGCCUGCCACGGCGUCUGGAAGAACAUGGCACUUAGAAGAGGGCACAGGAGGACAAGCCAGCCACCACGGCGCGAGAAGAAGCCGCCGGAAAGGGCGGGGAAGGUCUGCGCAGGAGCCGAAUCCCCCGCCCUCCCCGACGGACGGAGGGACGGAAGGACACCUGUGACCACCAAGGC